AAUAAGUAUAGUUUUGUACUAUUCAUGUCCAACGUUUGACCGUUCGUCUUAUUUGAAAACUUUUUAUGAUUAAUAUUUUAUUGUUAUUAGAUGAUAAAACAUGAAUAGUACUUUAUGUGUAUGUGUGAUGUGACUAUUUUCUUUUAAUUUUUUCAUAAAAUUUUCAAAUAAGAUGGGUGGUAAAAUGUUGGACACGGAUACCCACAACUGCACUUAUU
rfam:Oryza glumipatula chromosome 5, whole genome shotgun sequence.